ACACCGUUGGUGAAGUGGUUAUCAUGCUUGCCUUCCAUUCCCCAUGAAAAGCGGGUUUAGCAAGCGGCUCGGGUUCGAUUCCCGAACGGUGUA